UCGGCCGAUGGCGUGCGGCGCGAACCGCGCGCGGUUACCGGUCGCGCGUCCGGAUGAUCACGCGCCCCUGGUCGAU
rnacentral:tRNA from 1 species